GACGAACGCUGGCGGCAAGCUUAACACAUGCAAGUCGAACGCCGUAGCAAUACGGAGUGGCAGACGGGUGAGUAACACGUGGGAGCGUGCCUUUCGGUUCGGAACAACUGAGGGAAACUUCAGCUAAAACCGGAUACGCCCUUCGGGGGAAAGUUUACGCCGAAAGAUCGGCCCGCGUCAGAUUAGGUAGUUGGCGGGGUAAUGGCCCACCAAGCCGAUGAUCUGUAGCUGUUCUGAGAGGAAGAUCAGCCACACUGGGACUGAGACACGGCCCAGACUCCUACGGGAGGCAGCAGUGGGAAAUAUUGGACAAUGGGCGCAAGCCUGAUCCAGCUAUGCCGCGUGGAUGAAGAAGGCCUUCGGGUUGUAAAGUCCUUUCGGCGGGGAAGAUAAUGACGGUACCCGCAGAAGAAGCCCCGGCUAAUUUCGUGCCAGCAGCCCGCAGUAACAC
rnacentral:rRNA from 1 species